rnacentral:sRNA from 1 species
GCGGUUUUAGAUCUUAUACUGAAUGAUACAAAUGAUAUCAAGUCAUAUUUGACUCCAAACACUAACCAAGUUUUUUCUUGCUUCUCAAACAAACCUUUUAUGGUGUAACUGAAGUCCGUAUGAGUCUUUGGCUUUGCAUCUUCUAACCAGGAAACACUACUUAGGCUUUUAAGAUAUGGUUGCGGUGUAAGUUCUUAUACUUAAUCAUACACAUGACAUCAAGUCAUAUUUGACUCCAAAACACUAAUCAAGCUUCUUCUUGCUUCUCAAACCUUUGAUGGUGUAGUCGUAGUCCGUAUGAGUCUUUGUCUUUGUAUCUUCUAACAAGGAUA